rnacentral:rRNA from 1 species
CGGUAUUUAUAUAAUAUUAACAUAAUUCAUAUUACUUUUUAGUAUAUGAAACUUUACUUUGAGAAAAUUAGAGUGCUUAAAGCAGGCUAUUGCCUUGAAUACUCCAGCAUGGAAUAAUAUUAAGGAUUUUUAUUCUUCUUAUUGGUUCUAGAAUAAAAAUAAUGAUUAAUAGGGACAGUUGGGGGCAUUUGUAUUUAACAGUCAGAGGUGAAAUUCUUAGAUUUGUUAAAGACAAACUACUGCGAAAGCAUUUGCCAAGGAUGUUUUCAUUAAUCAAGAACGAAAGUUAGGGGAUCGAAGACGAUCAGAUACC